AACGAACGCUGGCGGCGUGUUUAAGACAUGCAAGUCGCACGGGAUCAUUUUGGUAGCAAUACUCGGAUGGUCCAGUGGCGCACGGGUGAGUAACACGUGAAUGACAUGCCCUUCAGUGGGGGAUAGCCCAGGGAAACUUGGAUUAAUACCCCAUGGUCUCGCGAGAGUAAAGGUGGCGCAAGCUGCCGCUGGAGGAUUGGUUCGCGUUCUAUCAGCAUGUUGGCGGGGUAAAGGCCCACCAAGGCUACGACGGACACCUGGUCUGAGAGGACGAUCAGGCACACUGGAACUGAGACACGGUCCAGACACCGACGGGUGGCAGCAGUCGAGAAUAAUUCACAAUGGGGGCAACCCUGAUGGUGCAACGCCGCGUGGAGGAUGAAGGUCUUCGGAUUGUAAACUCCUGUCAUCCGGGAGCAAGACCUGGCGGUCAAUAGCCGGCAGGGUCGAUAGUACCGGAAGAGGAAGGGACGGCUAACUUCGUGCCAGCAGCCGCCGUAAAAC
rnacentral:rRNA from 1 species